rnacentral:rRNA from 1 species
GUCAUCAUGGCCCUUACGAGUAGGGCUACACACGUGCUACAAUGGCGUAUACAAAGAGAAGCGACCUCGCGAGAGCAAGCGGACCUCAUAAAGUACGUCGUAGUCCGGAUUGGAGUCUGCAACUCGACUCCAUGAAGUCGGAAUCGCUAGUAAUCGUGGAUCAGAAUGCCACGGUGAAUACGUUCCCGGGCCUUGUACACACCGCCCGUCACACCAUGGGAGUGGGUUGCAAAAGAAGUAGGUAGCUUAACCUUCGGGAGGGCGCUUACCACUUUGUGAUUCAUGACUGGGGUGAAGUCGUAACAAGGUAACCGUAGGGGAACCUGCGGUUGGAUCACCUCCUUACCU